CACGAGAGGACGCCACGAUUCCUCUCAGACCGACCGGCGGUAACAACACCGCAACAACAACAACAACAAUAUGCGGCCGUACUAUAACGGCACAAACUGGUUGUCGUCGUGACGAACGGGUUGUAUUAUUCGACAACGAUGGUACGCUUAUAAUAUUAUUAUAAAUAAUUAUUUAUAAUAAUUGCCGUACGUCUGUAAGUACAACGUAUGGGCACUGUGUCGACGGUUGGAUAACGUCCGGCGAUCGGACCGAAUCGUCCGUGAUUAGUGUGCUGGACGACGACGCGAAACGAUCGCGUAACGACGACGCACGGGCGAGUUUUGACGGCGGCGGACGAUCGUAAAAAGCGGGCUCACCGGUGAAAGUAAGGCGGAGACAAAAAGAAAAAAGGUAUUAUUGUUUUUGUUUUUUGUGCCAUGUGUGCGCAAAAAUACUAUAAUAAUAACAGUUCAAUAUAUUAUUAUGAGAUAGUUAUCCGACUCGACUGCUCUGAGGCUAGCGGACUGGUAGUCGCGUGGGCGACGGCCGGGAGAGGCGCGAAAUCGAAUAAAAGUGCUGUUGCCGCGAGACAGAUGAGUCACGCGGGCGCAGGUCAUCGUCGGCCCGUUUGUAAAUUCUGAGCGAAUGGAGGAUCUAUUGGCUCAACUGUUUUUUUACUGUAUGCAUGUGUUUGUGAGCAACUUUUAUCUAGCUGUUGCAUUGGGGAGGUUAUUUUUUAAUUUUCUAAGAGAUUUUUAAAAUGAUUGGGAAAAACAAAACUAUUAGUAAAACAGCAAAUAUAUACGGCGCGCUGUGACGUUACCGAUUUCAUUGUUUUUGAUUUUUGUGAACUGUUUUUUUACUAAAAAUAUUACUUUAACCAAGAAUUGCUUAGAAACCUUUUUAUUGUAUUUUGGAUAUAGUUGCUCAAGAAGUAAAUUGUCUUUUGGUUUUUCUAAUGGUUUUUAUGAUAAAAAUGGAAAAACCCGAAAAAAGAAAAUGAACAAAUUUACUAAGUACGAUUUCAUUAUUUUAAAUUUGUACGCACAAUGUUUUCUAUCAGAAAUAUUCCUCCAAUAAAAUGACAAGAGAUCUUUUUUUUAUUACAUUUUUAAUCUACUCAGUGAGUAAGAAAGUAAUUUUUUUCUGAGACCAGAUCGGAUUACUGACCAGUGAAGAGAAAUUAAAACCAGGGCCGGACUGAAGAACUAACAAUGGAAUACAUAUAAUAUAUAUAUAUAUUCGCCAAAAAGGAUUAUUUAUAAAGUUACAAGAACAGCUGUCGCAUACUUGAUGUGCACUUAUCGAAUUUUUUUUCUUCUUUCUUCUAGUCUGUCGACACGUUUUUUCGUAGUAAACUUGCUCUGAUUUUUACGUGUAAUAACUUUUCUGAAAGCUCAAUUCGUCUUUAGAUAGUACUUUAAACAGGUCAUUUUUUGAUUUUCGACGCCACCAUUUUUUAAAUAAAAGCACUGAAGUGGAAAAAAAACGAAAGAAAACGCACAAUUUCACGAUUUCAUUAUUUUAUAAAAACACGGACGACGUUUUCUACUAAAAAUAAUGAUUUAAUCGAAAAAUAACAAUUCACUUUUUUUGUUGCCUUUUUGAUUUCCUUUCUUACGGUAUCAUUCCUAAACCUUUUGAGCCACUUUUGAACUUUUAAGGAAUAUUAAUUUUUGUUGUAAUUCGGUUAUAAAUACACUUAGAGACUUGAAACUUGGUAAUAAUACUUAUUAGACUUACCUAGACGUGAUAAAAUUUCAAAAUCAUCGGACGACUUUUUUUUUUAAUUAGCGUUUUGAAAUCAAAUUUAAACGAAAAUCACAAAAAAAAAAAUACGGCACUUCAAAUUAUGUAUUACCGAACUGUGCUUGGAAUCGUCUUUCAUCAAGCUAUGGUUUAUCGUUACUUAUAGAUAUAAAUGAAAUUACCUUAUGUAUCUUACCUUCCCAACUUCUCAUCUACAACAGUGGCCGCUCCCAUUCCUAGUAUUAGCUCUUUUUUAUAUUUUAAUUCUUUAUUCGGCACGAGAAGGGAUGAUAGUUAUAAAGUUGACAUUUUCACAAAAAUUAUUUAUUCGUAUCACUUAAAAAACGAAUACACAUUUUGAAUUAAUUUAUAGUAAAAAAAUAUGUAUGUUUCAAGUAAAUUUAUUCCGACAAACCGAUAAAACAUUCUUUGCUAGAAUUGUCUGUUGUGUCGUGUCGUGCUAUAGAAGUAUGAAUCGGACUUCAAUGCAAAAUGCGCAACUUAUAAGAUACGACAUGAUUAAACUAAAGCAUGAUCACUAACAAAAAGUGUUUUUCCGGGAAAAAACUUUUUAAUUUAAAUGUAUUCCCCCUCCAAAAAAUUUUAACACAAAAAUCUCCCUUUUUGUUUACACUUUCCUGACGCUUAUAUCCAACAACAAUAUUAUAGGUACAUCAUACAGUUUCCAUUUUUGAUCAAAUGUCGAAAAUUUGCUCGAAUAAUGAGUAUUAUUUGAUUCGACGUCACGGUUUAUUACUGAAGACGACCGUCUGAUAAUAUUAUAAACACUUCGUCGUCGUAGGUUAACAAAAGAAAAAAUUAAUAAAUCCAAGUUGUGCGUGUGAGGAGAGGGGUGAUCCGCCCAUCUCCGCUGAUAAUAUGCCGUUGGGAGUUUCAAGUUUUUACGCAUCGUAUAUGACGCCUACUGCAGACCACUCGAGAGGUCAAGGAGAUUGGGUUUACCACGCACGGUUACUAUACGACGCAAACAAUGUACACGGGAAAAAAUUGAAUACAAUUUUUUUUCAAGUGCUUUUCGUAGUGAUAGCCAACGAUAAACUUACUUUAAGAUCUUCACGGUCGAAAAAAAAUAAAAUAAAAAACACAGGUUCGCGUACCUCGACAGUUUUAAUAGGGUCGUUAAUCGUAAAAUCAUUUAUGUAUGUAUAAUUUUUUAAGCAUAUAUAACUUAUAUAAUAUGCUCGAGAAAUUGCAUUAAAUUGGAAGUUAAUAUACUGAAUACACUUUUUCGUAAAAAGUCAAACGAGUAAUUUCAUUUUUAACACGUUAACUGUCACGCACGGGGGUAUGCAUACAUUUUUGUGUUCAUCACGCCAUAAAUUGGCACAAUUGGGUUCACUAUACCUUCGUAUUCAAAAACGUAACACGGAAGUGUCGAGAAAAAAUAAUGCCAAAUAAUUAUUAUGUUAUGAUUAAUAUAUAAUUAAUGUUAAAUUAUUGAAUAUUUGUUUUCUUUUUAUACUUUGGCAUAUGAACAGCAAAUUUGCAGUGUACAAAAAAUCUAUAUAUUGCAGUCAACGCGUUAAAACGGCCGUUCUUUAUCGAUCAGAAUUGAUAUACUGCAAAAAAAAGAAAAACGUUCGUUUAUUAUGGAAAAAUUUCCUCGCGUUUCCGUGAUCUAGAAAAUACGAAUCAAUUUGCAAUCAUGCCCGUUUCUUGAGUAAAUUACACAAGUACAUUGGAGUAUAUCGGACGAUAUUGAGGGUAUUGGAAAAUUUCAAAACCGAUAUUUGAUCAGAUGUUUUCAGAGAAAAAUGUUUAUGAUGAUAUAAAAAAAAAACAUUUAAAAAGACAGACAUAUUUCGCAGGAUGGGUGAGUCAUUGCUGUAUAUGAAAAGUUGAAAAGGUAACAUAUAGAGGAGAAUUUAAUGUAUAUCUACAUAUAUGAAACGAUUAAUCAUUGAUGAUAAAAACGAUUCUGUGCGGAGUUCGGUUAUAAGUUAGGUUUAAAAAGAAGUAUUAUUUACGAUUUUCGUCAAAAUUUGAUAUUAAAAUUCUUUUUUAAAAAAAAUACUAGAUUAAAUCCAUAUUUUUCUUGUUUAUCACUAAAUACAACUUACAAUCAACCUCCCGUUAAAUUUUUAUUUGAUCUGACAAUUUUAUCUACAGAGUACUUAUUGAAUAAAAAUCACAUAAAAAACUCACAAAUUAAAAUAUCUAUAAAUAACUCAAACAUUUUAUUUCGUCUAAAAAAGGCAAAUAUAAGUUUAUUGUAUCCAUACUAAAUAUUUGUAAUAAUAAGAUAAUAGGUAAAUUUGUUUAAGUAAACGAGAUGAAACUUGUGAGAUCGUGUUACUAUCCCAUAACAACCACUGUGAUGAUACAACAUAAAAACCAGGACUAGUAAUAAACUAUUAUAAAACGAUUGUAAAGACAUUAUAAAAACCUAUCUUUGUUGUUUAAUUAAUACCUCGUAUAUCCGAAAAAGUAAAAUCGAGUUAUAUAAAUUAAUUCAUACAAAAAAAACUACGAAUAAUCUAAGGAGAAAAAUUCAAAAAGAAUUAAAAAUUCAAGGAGAAUAAUAUAAACGUGGACAAACUUUAACAUAUAUCCAUCAUUAAAAUUACUGUCAAAAUAUAUCGUAUCUUUAAAUUAGGUUAAAAAAAUAACUUUUUAGAGAUAUGAGAUAAAAGUUUUACAACGACACAUUUUGUAGUCAAUUGAAGAUAUAAGUAAUUAAUUAUUAUCGUAUAUUUUAUAUUUUAUACACGUAUAAUUUGUAUAUACCUUUGACAUAAUUACAAAAAAAAUAACCCUGAGUAUACGGUCGAAGAAUUUUAACAACAUUAUUACAAUAGUUUGUUUUCUCAGAUGUAAAGUUUAUUGUAUAAUAUUAAUAUUAUUUCACGUUACUGCAAUUGUAUCAGUUUGCACAGCUCUUUCGAGUAAAUAAAUUAUUAUACCUAUUAUAUAUAACUUACUGUACAUUGUUUCAAAAAAUAAAAAUAAAUAAAUUUAAACAUAAAAAUGAUAGGUGCGGAGGUUGAAAGUUGAAACCACCAAAAAGCUAUAUCCUUGAUAAUAACACAGAGAAUAUACAAGAUAUGCUUCUACUUAGAAAUGUUCAAAAAUACCGUUUGUAUUAUAUUAUACAAUAAAAAAUACUUAUAAUACUUAUAAAAGACCAAAAUUAAUUAAGUUAAUAUAAGUAAGAUUUACCCUUUUAUACGUCCUGAUGUUACGAUAUUAUGCAGUGCAACUAUACACGAAAUCGGAUUAUAUAACACUAUUAUCACUUACACGGAUAUAACAAAUUUCUUCGGAUACGGUCGAAACGGAAAACGAUACGGUAUUAAAGCAAUAGAAAUCGUAAUUAUGCGUUUUAUAGUACCUAUUUUUUUUUACCAUUAAUGUGUAUUUGAUGUGCCUAAUCUGUCUAUCUUGCAUUCAAAAGACUAAAGGUUCAUAUUCAAAUAUUGUAACGAUAAGAAAUAACCGUAUACCUAAUUCAUACGACAAUGACAAUAAUUAUCCACAUGAAACCAACGCUAUUCGAUUUAUGUGAUUUUUAUAUUUGUUUUUUUUUUUUUUUUAUAUAAUUUAAAAGAUAGUCGGUUCAUAGUACAGGCAUACCCGCAUAACAAUAUUAUCACUCACACGUGAAAUGUAACGACAUCACACUAUUAUUACGGUAUCUCGAACAAUAUUUAGCCAAGUGAAACAAAAACAACACGAGUUAUCAGACGUUAACGAACUAUACUAUACUAUUAUCAACUAAUUAUCAGAAGACGUGUAAAUUACGUUUUGUGAAACGUUAAAGAAACUGUUAAAAAAAAAUUCUAGAUUCCAAUCAAAGAAAUGAGUAGACGAUAUUGUCUCGUGCAUAGAUAUUAUGUAAGCUUGAACAUUUUCGUUUGAAAAUCGUAUGUCCCCCUCCCAAUUAAAUUUGAAGAACAUAUUUAGUGGACUCACGUUGGACCUACACCUAAUUUUAAAUCGAAAAUAAUAAUAAUAAUUAUAUAUUACAUGUAAGUCAGUGAUAGAUCCUGGUGAGGGGAGUAAUAGGGUCUCUUCCCCUCCCAACACCGAAAUAUAGAAUACUUGUUUUCUUGUGUUGUGGUAAAAUAUAUACAGUUUAUUAUUUUAUGAUUUAAUUCUCCCAAAAUUAAGGAUGUGGAUCCGCCACUGAUAAUACAGUUUUAAAAUCAUAAAUAAUUAUAUAUAUUAUUUAGUACAUAUAUAUAAUACACAAUAAUCAUAGAUUUAUACCUAUUAACUGCUGUUAAUUUUUUAAAAAAAUUAAUUUAAUUUAUGGGAAAUAAUAGUUGAGUUACCCUUCACCUAACAAGAAGGCCUAGUCACUACAACAAUGUCAGUGGUCACUGAAAAUUUCGAUUUUUAUAGGUAUUAUAUUACAUUUUGUAUAGAGCUACAAUAGCGCGUAGGAAAAAGCACUUCAUGAAAAUUCUCUAUUAUAAUAAAUCUUAUAAUCUACACAACAAAAAUUAUUCCAAAUAAAUAAACGAAAAAAACGUAUCUUUUAUUUUCAGUAUUUUUUAAGGCGACGUAGAUAUUAUAAAAACCACCGAAAACAGCGAAGUAAAUAUCUAUAUAAUGAUAGUCAACCGAAAAUUGAAAAAUAGAUUUUUCUAAAAGCAAAAAAAAUAACGAUCUCGGGUAUAAAAUUAUACAUAAUCACCUGUAACCAAUCUUGUAUAAUAUAUAUUUUUUUUCUUUAGACCAAUUGUCAUGGGAAUACUGCGGCAUUCCAAUCUAUCAAUCCAUCAAAAUGCGGUACAACAUUACUUUGUGUUCACGGACAAAAAUAAUGAUGACAACUCUUUAGAAAGGAAAAUCGAAUAAGAUGAUAAGAUAAAUUUGUUGUUUUUAUUUUACUAAUUAUAAUACACUGUAUUAUAAAAAACAUCCGUAAAAUCCACGUCAAUAGUCAAAUUCCCCCCCCCCACAUAAUUAGUAUAUUAUAGAAACGUUAUUUUGUAAAACAAUAUAAAU